AUGACUUUGAUCCCCGUCUUCAUCUGGACACUGAUCCUCUGGACUCAAGAAUGCAGAGGUCAAGUCACAGUAACUCAGACUCCUGCAGUGAAAUCUGCUCGUCCAGGAGAAACAGUCAUCAUCAACUGUAGAACCAGAGAAACAGUCACCAUCAACUGUAGAACCAGUCAGGCAGUGUAUAGCAACAACCAAUUACACUGGUAUCAGCAGAAACCUGGAGAAGCUCCUAAACUCCUCAUUAAACUUGCCAAUCAGCUUCAGUCAGGUUUUCCAGCUCGUUUCAGUGGCAGUGGAUCUGGAUCUGAUUUCACUCUGACUAUCAGUGGAGUCCAGACUGAAGAUGUAGCAGAUUACUACUGUCAGAGUUACCAUUACAUCAGUAGUAAACAUGUGUUCACACAGUGUUAUAGAGUCGUACAAAAACCUCCCUCAGUCAGAUUGUAG